rnacentral:rRNA from 1 species
GGGCCCGCACAAGCGGUGGAGCAUGUGGUUUAAUUCGAUGAUACGCGAGGAACCUUACCAGGGCUUAAAUGCAGUCUGACAGGUCUGGAAACAGACUUUUCUUCGGACAGAUUGCAAGGUGCUGCAUGGUUGUCGUCAGCUCGUGCCGUGAGGUGUCAGGUUAAGUCCUAUAACGAGCGCAACCCCUGUGGUUAGUUGCCAGCGAGUGAUGUCGGGAACUCUAGCCAGACUGCCGGUGCAAACCGCGAGGAAGGUGGGGAUGACGUCAAAUCAUCACGGCCCUUACGUCCUGGGCCACACACGUGCUACAAUGGUAGGGACAGAGGGCAGCUACCCCGCGAGGGGAUGCGAAUCUCUUAAAGCUUGUCUCAGUUCGGAUAGGAGUCUGCAACUCGACUCCUUGAAGUUGGAGUCGCUAGUAAUCG